UACGUAGGCAGCGAGCGUUGUUCGGAGUUACUGGGCGUAAAGAGUGCGUAGGCGGUUGUCUGAGUUUGGCGUGAAAUCUCCCGGCUUAACCGGGAGGGUGCGCCGAGGACUGGAGGGCUGGAGUAUGGGAGAGGUAAGCGGAAUUCCUGGUGUAGCGGUGAAAUGCGUAGAUAUCAGGAGGAACACCAGCGGUGUAGACGGCUUACUGGACCAUAACUGACGCUGAGGCACGAAAGCGUGGGUAGCAAACAGG
rnacentral:rRNA from 1 species